CAGUAUAUAGUUUAAUUAAAAUUUGGCUUUUGGGUUGCUAGGAUUAUUUGCUGA
rnacentral:tRNA from 1 species